ACGCUCGACACCUACGGGAGGAGCAGUGGGGAAUAUUGCACAAUGGGGGAAACCCUGAUGCAGCGACGCCGCGUGGAGGAAGAAGGUCUUCGGAUUGUAAACUCCUGUUGUUGGGGAAAAAGAGGAUGGUACCCAACAAGGAAGUGACGGCUAACUACGUGCCAGCAGCCGACGGUAAUCUGAGGCGGGCUGGACGAAGGC
rnacentral:rRNA from 1 species